rfam:Schistosoma haematobium scaffold966_8, whole genome shotgun sequence.
GCACUGUCGAUGAGUCCCAUACCAGGACGAAACGGCCGUCCAGUGC